rnacentral:sRNA from 1 species
GGCGCUCCCGGGUGGGCGGGGUCAGCGCAGGAGAGGGAGGCGGGACCUCGCGCCACGCGGCGAGCCCAGGUGAGGCGCCCCAAGCCUCGGGCCCACCGACCUUUCCUCCUCCGGGCGAGGCCGCCGUGGGCCACCGCGUGGAGCGUCGCCCUGACGCGCCGCACUGUUCGCAGGACUCUGGUCCUUCCUGUGGUUCGUGGGCUUCUGCUUCCUCACCAAUCAGUGGCAGCGCACGGCGCCAGGGCCGGCCACGACGCAGGCGGGGGACGCUGCGCGGGCCGCCAUCGCCUUCAGCUUCUUCUCCAUCCUCAGCUGGGUGGCGCUCACCGUGAAGGCCCUGCAGCGGUUCCGCCUGGGCACCGACAUGUCACUCUUCGCCACCGAACAGCUGAGCACCGGGGCGAGCCAGGCCUACCCCGGCUAUCCGGUGGGCAGCGGCGUGGAGGGCACCGAGACCUACCAGAGCCCGCCCUUCACCGAGACCCUGGACACCAGCCCCAAAGGGUACCAGGUGCCCGCCUACUAGCGGCUGGCAGGCACAGACCAGGGCUCCAAGGCCACCCCACCAACGCAGGCCCCAGGGUCUCCGGGACCUCCCUUGGGUCCUUCCAGCUCAGUGCCAGGGACAGAGUAGGUGGCCGCUUUGCGCCAUCCGGGGCCAAGAGGGGGUGGACCCGCGUGUCUGGGCUGCCCCUGCCAAGUUCCCCCAGUCCCUCAGCACCUGGCCCCAGGACUGAGGUCCUGAGAAGGGG